rnacentral:rRNA from 1 species
CAGUAGCCGCGGUAAUACGAAGGGUGCAAGCGUUAAUCGGAAUUACUGGGCGUAAAGCGUGCGUAGGCGGUGGGUUAAGUCUGCUGUGAAAUCCCCGGGCUCAACCUGGGAAUGGCAGUGGAUACUGGCUCGCUAGAGUGUGUCAGAGGAUGGUGGAAUUCCCGGUGUAGCGGUGAAAUGCGUAGAGAUCGGGAGGAACAUCAGUGGCGAAGGCGGCCAUCUGGGACAACACUGACGCUGAGGCACGAAAGCGUGGGGAGCAAACAGGAUUAGAUACCCCAGUAGUCCCUGUCUCUUAUAU